CUGAAAGAGCAUGUACUCUUGAAACACUCGACAAUCCCUCACACAUCAAACGGUUGGCUUGCGCUGGAACACAGUUCCAGGGUCAUCAUCGCAAGGAAACACUUGGAAGGCAGUAACCUUAGCAGCAGGUGGACCACGGCGGCACCUCUUCUCCAUCUCUUGCACCUUAUCAGAAUCCCCAGCGAAGAGUGCUUCCACAGAACCAUCCCUCCUAUUCCUAACCCAACCUUUCAACCCCAACUGGGUGGCAUUCUCCACUGUCCAGUUCCUAUAGAACACUCUUUGCACCCUCCCCUUGAUCACGGCCCUCACCGUUUUUGUUGAGGAGGUAGACUGAGGUGGGUCAGUAUUGGCUUGAGGAGGAGUGUUCAUAGAGGACAAAGGAGAGCGACGUUUAGGAAAACGAGAUUGUAAGAGAGAGCAGUUUAAGACAAGGUCAAUAAGAAAGAAGAGAAAUGGAACAAAUUUGUUGAUCAUAGCAGAAGUUUCAAAUUUGUUGAAUUU
rnacentral:misc_RNA from 1 species